UCAGCAACCACUCUACACCGUGAGCACUGCAAACCACGACCCCAAAUUUAUUAAUGCCAGUCAGGCACCCAACUUUGGCUUCAGCUUGUGCCUAGUCUUUUCCACAGCUUCCCUGUGGCCUCCAGGAAUGCCCUAGGGCACCAGAAGAAGCUGGGCAAGCUGUCAAAUGACUCCCUGGAGUGCUCCUAGGCAAGACCUGUGGCUCUGAGAAGCAACUAGAAAUCAUUGCUAGAGUCUGAGACCAGACUGCUGCAUCUGGAAGAUUUCAUCCCACUUUAAAAUACCAAUGCUUCUCAUGGAAGAACAAAGAGAUUCCACUAACUCACAGACACCUGUGCUCCAUGUAACUAUCAGCAAGUAUAGCUGCAUGGACAGACAAUAGUUGCUUGCUUCUUUAUUUUCACAGUCUGAGACUUUUCACUUGUUAAUCAUUAAAAUAAAAAAAUUGAAAUUCG